AGUCGUGCUCCAGUUUGCAGAGGGCAAGGGGCUGGUUGCAGGUGGUGCUGGGAGGAUGGAGUAGAGAUGGGGUUUCACCGUGUUAACCAGGAAUGUCUCGAUCUCCUGACCUCGUGAUCCACCCGCCUCAGCCUCCCAAAGUGUUGGGAUUACAGGCGUGAGCUACCACGCCCGGCCCUAGGCUCCACAACUCUAAGAAGCUUUGGUGAGUAAACAGGCCUGAAGAGGUGAAAUCAUUUGCCAAGCACAGAACCAGGAUUCAAAACUUUGCAGUCUGGCUCUAGAAUGCCACCCCGUCCCACCUCAGGACUGGCCCUCUCCUGGGAAUUCCUUUCUCCCUCAUCCUCCAUGUCCUUUCUCUGUGGAGCCGUGUGCCCUGCCCAUAUCUAAGUACAUGUCCUGGGAUCCAGGGGAUGACAUAUACUGGAGUCCCUGGUGCCCAUGCCUUCUGACUCCUCCUAGACCAUGAGCUGAGGGGACAGAGAGUGGCUCUUGCACCUGGGGGGCUCAGGGUGUGUACAGUGGGUGAACAAAUGGGGGGACAUUUGAGGCCCAGGCAGAAGGACACAGAAUGUUCCCUGGUGGCAGCUUAGGAGGGGGCAGGGGCUGGGCAGAGGGGGCAGUUGUGUCCUUCCCUACCUGAACCUCUUCUACUCUCUGGGUCCACCGCCAUGAAAUUAUUCAUUCUGCCACAUUCUCUUGCACCCUGGCUUUCUGUCUGAAAUCCUUUCUCUGCCCCAGUAUUCACUCUCCGACUCUUCAGCUCACUCCUCUUAAUCCUUGAGACGUUCCAGGUUACCUGCUCCCUCAGGAGCUUUGCUAACCCCAAGGUUGUGAUAACUGCUUUCUUUAGGCUCCCACAGUUGCUCGUUCUAAUCCCAACACGGUAUUUGAAGGGCUAUUUAUUUCUCUCCUGACUGGACUGUUGGGAGCUUUGUAAGGGCAAGAGCCAUCUCUUAUUUAAUGUUGUAUUCCUAGGGCCUGGUACCAGAGUAUUAGUAAAGCUUGUUGAAUGAAUAAAUGCGAUUCAGCGGUGACUUCCCAUAGAUGCUACUCCAUGUUAUUCAUGUCACUGUAAUCCAUCUUGGGCUGCAUUUCACAAGCCAGCAUUGAAGAAAGCUGGGCUCAGAGAGCCUUAGAGACCAUCAGUGGUACAGAUGAGGAAACCGAGGGCAGGCCUGGUUCUCACUGCCUCGCCUCUGGUUCUGCGACUGGAGCUCCGUGAGGACAGGAACCAGGACUUGGAUGUUGUUUUCUGGCUUGGCAGGGUGCUUUGCCUGUGAUCACAGUCAUUGCCUUUUACUAGGUGCUUAUAAGGUGCCAGCCCCUUUAUGUGUUUUUCCACGUUUGCAUAUCCACAGGGAAGGGAGGUGCAAUUAUCCCCAUUUACAGAUCAACAAACAGGUGUAGGGAGGUUAAGUAAUUUGGUUAUUUAUCAGUGUCUUCUGGUUCCUUUCAUAAAUUUAUCUGGGUUCCACUGUAGCCUCACAACAUUGUCAUCAAACCCACUUUCGGCGGUGCAGUGGCUCACACCUCUAAUCCCAGCACUUUGGGCGGCCAAGCGAGAGGAUCGCUUGAGCCCAAGAGCUCGAGACCAGCCCAGGCAACACAGAAAAACCUCAUUUCUACAAAAAA
rnacentral:lncRNA from 1 species